rnacentral:rRNA from 1 species
CGUACGGGUGAGUAACACGUGGAUCAUCUACCUCUUAGUGGGGAAUAACUCUAGGAAACCGGAGCUAAUACCGCAUAAGCCUGGAAAGGGAAAGUCGCAUCUUAAUAAAUGAGACGCUGAGAGAGGAGUCCGCGGCCGAUUAGCUAGUUGGCAGGGUAAAAGCCUACCAAGGCAUUGAUCGGUAGCCGGCCUGAGAGGGCACACGGCCACACUGGCACUGAAACACGGGCCAG